rnacentral:tRNA from 1 species
ACUUUUAAAGGAAAACAGUUAUCCAUUGACCUUAGGAGCCAAACCUCUUGGUGCAAGUCCAAGUGAAAGUA